GGGGGUGUACCGGAUUCGACCUUGUGUCCUAGCGCGCGGCUGCAUGUCGGAGAUAAUGGAGGCUCCGUAUCAAUCCAUUACAAAUAUUAAUUGGCGAAGAACAAUUCGCUCUUGCUGCAUAGUUCAGCAACGUUGCUACCCAGACACCUGCUAAGGGCUAGCGGCGACGACUAGCAGGCCAUAACUGAUGAGACGGCUCUCGAUUAUCAGUUGUAUUUAGAGAGCCUGGAAACUGAAAAGCUCGCUUUUACAGCGCUUCAGGGACGACAAUAAAUUAAAAGCUAUGCAUGUAGACGCCACGCGUAAAAGCACGAGGGACGCGGGUUCGACUCCCGCCACCUCCACCA
rnacentral:tmRNA from 1 species